rnacentral:rRNA from 1 species
AUUGAACGCUGGCGGCAUGCUUUACACAUGCAAGUCGAACGGCAGCACGGGCUUCGGCCUGGUGGCGAGUGGCGAACGGGUGAGUAAUAUAUCGGAACGUACCCAGAAGUGGGGGAUAACGUAGCGAAAGUUACGCUAAUACCGCAUACGAUCUAUGGAUGAUAGCAGGGGACCGCAAGGCCUUGUGCUCCUGGAGCGGCCGAUAUCUGAUUAGCUAGUUGGUGAGGUAAAGGCUCACCAAGGCGACGAUCAGUAGCUGGUCUGAGAGGACGACCAGCCACACUGGAACUGAGACACGGUCCAGACUCCUACGGGAGGCAGCAGUGGGGAAUUUUGGACAAUGGGCGCAAGCCUGAUCCAGCAAUGCCGCGUGAGUGAAGAAGGCCUUCGGGUUGUAAAGCUAUUUUGCCAGGGAAGAAACGGUAGAGGCUAAUAUCCUUUGCUAAUGACGGUACCUGAAGAAUAAGCACCGGCUAACUACGU